rnacentral:tRNA from 1 species
GCCCGAAUGGUGGAAUGGUAGACACGAAGGACUUAAAAUCCUUUGGCCUUUAUCGGCUGUGGGGGUUCAAGUCCCCCUUCGGGUACAA